CAAUAGCGUAUAUUAAAGUUGUUGCAGUUAAGAAGCUCGUAGUUGGAUUUGUGGCGUACGGUGUGUUCCGGGCACUUGUUGUCUGAGUAACCUGCUGUUGCCAUCCUUGGGUGGAACCUGUGUGGCAUUAGGUUGUCGUGCAGGGGAUGCCCAUCAUUUACUGUGAAAAAAUUAGAGUGUUCAAAGCAGGCUUAUGCCGUUGAAUAUAUUAGCAUGGAAUAAUGAGAUAGGACUUUUUUGCUAUUUUGUUGGUUUGCGCAAAGAGGUAAUGAUUAAUAGGGACAGUUGGGGGUAUUCGUAUUCCAUUGUCAGAGGUGAAAUUCUUGGAUUUUUGGAAGACGAACUACUGCGAAAGCAUUUACCAAGGAUGUUUUCAUUAA
rnacentral:rRNA from 1 species